GGGCCGUCGGCCAACCCAUUCUAGGAUUGAGCGACUGUGUAGCUUCCGAUGAGGGGAGUUGCUAAAAAAACUACCCACGCGAGCCGCACAGAAGCGACCGCGUCCAGAUUACUUCCCGAUGCGAGGCACACGAGGAGCAGCCGGUGUGUGUCCGUCGAUUCGAUCCACCGGAGGUGCAGAUCGAAUUAACUUAUGGGCGCGCUGGGAUCGACCGGUGCGAGGCGCGCACAGGAGCAGCCGAUGUGCGUCGGUCGAUUUGAUCCACUGGAGGUGAGGGUCGGAAGCAAGUCCAUGGGCGCGCUGGGAUGGACCGGAGGAGCGGGAUCCGGCUCCAGCCGAUGGGCUCCAGCACGCGGUUGGAUGCGAGGUGCGCGAGGGAUUAGAGGAGGCGCGCGGGUGAAGAAUGGAGGGCGUGAGGGCGAUAAUGGCCGACGCCUCCUCUGCUAGAAACUGCUUCUUUCUCUCUUGAACCACGCAAUCAUGGCAUUCAUGGCUGGAACUAUGCUACGUCUGGUGGAUUGAUUUGGGCAGAUUCUGGAGCUUUGUGCUGUGGAUUUUCUUGCUAACCAGAUUCUGGAGCUUUCGGACGGGUUGUAAAAACGGUUAAGGUAGCUGGUUUGCACAACAAAGGUACAAUAAAUGGUUGUAUUCCCAUAGUGCAUACAUACUCGAUGAUUGGCGCUCCUUGACUUUUAAUUCUGAAAAUUAUUGCAGGUUUUCCUGUUUUUAUUAGUUUUAUCAUUGCUUUGAUGCAUGCUCUUGCUAUAUCUGAAUGAUUUUACAGUUGGCUGAACUAGGACAAAAUUCAUUCAUAGUAUGUUUCGACAUUUUGUUUCAGUUGCAGACCAACAGUAGUCUUUUUUUAAUGAAAACCAACAGUAGUCUUUACAAUCCUGAAAAUAAAAGGCCCACGCAACAUAUUCUUAGAAAUAGUGAAGCACAAUGUGCUGAGUCAUUCCUGUGGAGCUGCCUUCUAAAAAUGCACUAGAUCAUUAUUGGCGCGCAUCUAUUUUGAAGUUUUUUUUGACAGAGAUAUAUAUUUUUUUUGUAAAUGGGAGAAAGAGAAAAAUAAUUAAAAAAUACACCUGAAAAACACUGGUGGUAGUAAAGAUCAAAUACCACAGUUGACGGAAAUGCUGGCCACUUCAGUAAGUACUCCUUCUACUCGAUUGUUGCAAGCAUAUUCCAGAGUGCAGACCACAAAUAGAUGUUAUGGAACCAGAAAUAAAUCACAUUGUUGUAAUGUAUGAAUUUUUUUUCAAUAAUAUUCAUCGAUAUAACCUAACCUGCAAGGUUAUAUAUGGCUGGAGCAAUGGAUAAUACUGAGUAAGCGAAUCCUUGCUGCUGUAUUAGCCGAUGUAGCAGAGGUCGUUACCACAUUCAAGUCCUCUCAAUUCUGCACAAGACAGAAAGCAUGCUUAGUCAUCUUCAUUUUGAAAAUUUAGCCUACUGAUCUAUCUAAAAUGUAGAAACUGAAGUCAAUACCUGAACGUCAACCGUCGCAACAUCAUGUGAGAAGAGAUCUGUUGGGGACAAAGAAGAUCAGGCAGCGUAGCAGUACCUCAGUUUCCUGUGUUUCUCUCCAGGAACAUAAUUUAAGACCGGAAUGAUAUUCAAAUAUCCGAGGGGAUCCAGUGCGGGAGGGAGACAACGCGCUCGAGGAGAUUCAGCUGCGGCAAGGCGCCCGAAGGAAUCCAGCGCUUGAUGGUAUCCAGUCGAUCAAGCCGAGAUGCGUGAUGCAGGUGAAUCGGGGGCAGGUCAAUCCAGCCGACCAUGGUAAUCCGCCUGAGAGGUAGAGGGUCACCUUGAGCAGCGGACAAUUGCCGGAAAUCAAGGAGGUAUAUAACCAUCACUACAUACAUAGUAAAAAAUAAGGGGCCACUGAAAUGUUCUUGGAUUCUAAUGGAAUCAUCAACCCGUACAUCUCUAUCACUAAUUUGUAUUCUCGACACCAGUCAGUUUAGAUGUAUUCUUCAGUUUCUAACUGAUAGAAACAAACAUUGUUCUUUCACAUCGUACAACUCCACCAAAUGUACUAAUCUAAUUAUUUGCCUCAAGCAACUGGGAGCAAUGAAUACCAGAAUUGUCAUAUUAUAUAGAACUGCAAGUGAUAUCCAACAAUCAUUUUUGAUGAACAAAAUGAUAGGAGAGCGGCUGAAUCUAUGCGAAUAACCUGCAGUGGCGGAGUGGCAUCAAGCUGACACAACCACAUGUCUUCGGUGUUCCAAGCCUCGGCAUCCUCCAAAUCUCCCUUGAGGCUAGUGGCGCACUGAAUCUUAGCAUCAGAUAGUGUCUCAUAUACAGAAGCGAUUGAACUAAACCUGGCGGUGACGUGCACGAGUGGCUGCAGCUAGGAGCAACGGUGACGGGGAAGAGGAGACGUCGCACAUCUGCUACCGGUGGGAUCCUGUUGAACAUCGCAUCCUUGCACGCGUCGCCUCGGGUUGAUCCCCUCCUGCGCCGGAUCACUAGCAAGCAUCGCCUCGGAUUGAUCCCCACCCGCGUCGGAAUCCCUCGCGAGGCUCGACUUAGGCUAGAUGGAAGAAGAACGCCCGAAGUUGAGGGAGGCGAGGAGAUGCCGUCGUGGGCGGCGGCGGGGAGAGGAGGGGGCGUCGUGAGGAGCGAAGGGACAUGCUGGUUCGGUGUUUUAUUGUCUUCGCUCAAGCGGGCUUCCCUGCCUUGGGCCGAGUAGAAAACUGGCCCGAUUAACCCCUGGGCUCCAAAAUAGCUACGGGAGUAGCUGCCCUUGCGACGUUAGGCCCAGUUCGCGGCUAACAUAGCGCUAAUCCAACGGCUGACCUUGCUAAUGCCCUGAGAUGGCAGGAAAACUGCUCAGUUAUAGUGUCUUUAAAUUAUUGGAAUCUGCCUUUAUUCCAUGAAGAAGCAUCAUUAUUUCAUCCAACUGGGCUAACGAAUAUUCAUGGUGUUCCUGAAAGUAAAGAAAGGGGUUAAUAGUGUAAAAGUACAUGACAAAUCUGAAAGUUGCAUAUGAGGAACUCAUGCUGAUCUUCCAAAUUGUGCUUGAUGCAAAGAGAGCUUUGCUCUCACCUGACUUGCUGCUAUCCCGAGGAGAAAAGAUAAGUGGUAAGAACAAUGAACUUCGUACUAACAGUUAUGAUUUGGAACAUAAUUAUAGCAGAGAUUAACAAUUAUACCAUUAAAGAAGAUUUGAUAAAUCAAAAAACAAAUCAAGCACAUCCUCUAUAGAACACUUACAAGCACUCGAUUUAGAGAAAAGGGAGAAAGAAAAUGACGUUUAAUAUAUCCUCUCGAGGGAAACAUUGUUCCAGUGCAUGCAAAUAACCCCGAGAGGAUGAAACACUGUUGUAAUGAGCGUGAACGAUGUUUCACCGGUGAGAAGCAUGGACUGGAAAAUGUUGGGAUUACGGGGAAAACAAAAGCAUUUCGUUGAUGACCUUUCAGCCUUCACGUCGAUAGCGAGGCAUUGCCCAGCUCCUUUGAUUGUCACAGACAGCAGAGGCCCUUGUAUGAAACCCACAUACCCAGCAACCCGCCAAUUCAUGAAGGAACCAACAAAUAAUUUGUACACAGUUGUUUCGGUGUAGCUAUAUGAAUUAGGAAAGAACAUUCUGAAAUUUGGAUGUGGACUACUAUGUAUGGUUUCUGGGCAUGUCAAGGUAGUCUAGCACGCGUUGGGUGGAAUUGUAAGUUAGGAAUUAUAAAUUUAUUAUAACAUUGACCGACUGAUUGUUUAGUUUGUAGGAUAUAUAUAAAUAGUACAUGUACAGCCAUACCCUUGUGACUUUUGAAGAAGGUGAAGCUAAGGUUCAUUUGAUGUUGAUUUUUUGAAU